UUAACACCGCAUCAGUUUCCGAGCGAAACCAUCCAAUUUGCCUACCAUCUCUUCCCCUCCUCUCUCAUUUUCUCUUCCUCCCCAUGGCCGCCAUGGCUGCUCCCAUCCCUGGCCACCCGCACUCUCCUCCUCCUUUCCCGUUUCCCCGCCACCGCACUGUUUCCCUACGUGUGCCCGCUCUAUUCCCCAUCAGUGGGAGGCCGCGCCAUGGUAUCGCGCGGGGCAGGACGAGCGCCGAUCUGCGUGCAGCGGUUGGGGUGGCGGCGGGCGUCGUCGACAUGGAGGCGGGCCAACAAGCAGGGAGAGGGGCGCACCCUCUCCAUUCACCACCAGCAGGCGGCGGCGGUUCCAUGGAAUCGGGGCAGGGCAUGACCUCGGGAGGCAGUUAGGGUGGAGGUGAUGGCGCUGGUGUGAGGCGGGCCGGAAAGAAGGGCGAGGGGAGGUCAGAUACAGCCGCCUCGACCAUGGAAUCUAUCCGCGACCAGCGACCAACUACCAGCGGCUAGAUGCCUUUGCGGGCAGGUGCGGCGCUUGACUACGUUUACAGGCCGUUGUCGCUUCCGAAUCUGGUAUUGUGGUUGUUGAUGCAGUCUAAGGCAGCAGCCGCCACAAGUUUGAUGGAGUGGCGCUGGGUGGAUGGCCACGGUGGAGUGGACGACACAGCCAUCACCAGCGGCCCUGGAGGCGGAGGAGCCAUGGUAGCAGCGGCAUACUCUAGGGAGGGUGCUUGAUGUCGUGGGUUUGGCUCUAGGAGGAGAAGCCACCUGCUGCUCCUGAACGGUGACGACAGCGGUAGGACCAGAUAUGGCAACAAAGAGACCAAGCAACGAUGUGCUCGACCACACGUUCUCCAUCCCCAUCUCCAGGAAAGCAAUUAUUUGAACUGGUUUGACGUGUGAUCAGAAGUCCUCUAGCUUCUGAAUCCAAAACUCCGGCGUGGAGCAGUGCCAAAAAGUCUAGCUUCACGGAGCGAUCCGAGAAGCUAGCCCAAUUUGAUGUACAAAUACACAUCUAUAUCAGUGGAUCUGGUGCCACAGGCACCUGAGAGUGGAGGCACCGAUUGCUGGAGAAGCGAGGGCGAGGAGGGCCGUGGUAGCGCAGAUGAGGAGGCAAGGAGCAAUUUGUGCAUGUGCUAUUACAGGUCAGAACGGCAAUGAAGACAACAUUGGUCAUGGAUGCUUGGCAGAGAGGACAUCAAUGGAAGAUACUUGUGCGUGUCACGGGCUUCUAAGAAGACAAAGAUUCAGAAAUCUAUAUGAAUUGGAUUUCAUCUUAGUCUGACUGUGAGAGACUACAUGCCACAGCUCAUGUGGUUUGCUGACGGCACCCUAUCCGCUCAAUCGCCAGUAAGCUUACUCGGUUUGGGUCACUGGUGCCUGCUGCCGGAUGCGCAAGUGCAGCUCCUCAUCCUCCAGCUCUACUGCAUGUCUGGCCCUGCAAACAAGCCGGUGGCUUGCUAUUGCUCGCAACGGCGUCCCCAACGGGGCAUGGGACGGCAGCCACACCGGCUCGACGGCAUGACACACUGCUCCUUGGCCUUUGGGCUCUACGAAUCAGGGAUGCGGCUGAGCUUGAGCAUAGCGAGCCUCGCCCUCACGUGCCUUCACCAAAGCAUGCCGGCCAUGGACGCUGGCGUCGUGACUGCAAAUUCAACACCACAGCGGGGAGCAUAGCGCAGCCUCUCAGCGCGUGCCCGGCCGCCGUGACGGGAGCCACGUCUCCUUGGCCGACGGCACGCCGCUGUGUGCCGAAUCUGAUAGAGAGAGAUGGGGUGAGAGAGGGGAGGAAAAGGGAUAAGGAUGGAAUCACAGCUACAAUGGCGGACGGAGACAAUGUUGGCCGUAGAGGCACACACUCGAGCACUCGGUGCAUGCACAUUCCUGUGCCACAUGCUCAGGCGUGUGCGUAACAAGUGUCGGACUAGGUAGUACUGUGGUACCUCCAGCUCCAGUCUAUGGAGUAGUGAAUCACCGUACGGUUGUAUUAAAGUACGUGCAUAAUUUGUCUUCCUAACACGAAGCAACAAUACAAUAAUCAUAGUUGAAAAUAAACUUGAUGAUGUUAACAAAUUCAUCUUUGUCUUUUCUAUUCUAUUAGUGCUAGCUGUUUAAGAAAGUUUGUAAAAUAUUAUCUACGCUUUUUAACUAGAGAAAAUGUCAUUUACACGU